UACAGAGGGUGCGAGCGUUAAUCGGAAUUACUGGGCGUAAAGCGCACGUAGGCGGCUUGGUAUGUCGGGUGUGAAAUCCCCGGGCUCAACCUGGGAAUGGCGAUGGAUACUGGGCAGCUAGAGUGUGUCAGAGGAUGGUGGAAUUCCCGGUGUAGCGGUGAAAUGCGUAGAGAUCGGGAGGAACAUCAGUGGCGAAGGCGGCCAUCUGGGACAACACUGACGCUGAAGCACGAAAGCGUGGGGAGCAAACAGG
rnacentral:rRNA from 1 species